rnacentral:rRNA from 1 species
AUUCGCCCGCCGCGCGCGGCGGGCGGGGCGGGGGCACGGGGGGCCUACGGGAGGCAGCAGUGGGGAAUAUUGGACAAUGGGGGAAACCCUGAUCCAGCAAUGCCGCGUGUGUGAAGAAGGCCUGCGGGUUGUAAAGCACUUUCGGAGGGGACAAAAAGCGUCGGGCUAACACCCAGGCGUCUUGAUUUAACCCUCAUAAGAAGCACCGGCUAACUCUGUGCCAGCAGCCG